rnacentral:rRNA from 1 species
CGUACACGUGUGAACAGAGGUUGAUCACGAGUUAGUCAGUCCUAAGUUCAAGGCGAAAGCCGAAAAUGUUCAAGUAAAAAAUCAAUAAGCAUAUAUUGUCAAAUCUUUAAUGAUUUUUUUGAAACACUUGAAUCAUUUUGAAUGAAAGGGAAUACGGUUCCAAUUCCGUAACCUGUUGAGUAUCUGUUUGUUAUUAAAUAUGGGCCUUGUGCUCAUCCUGGCAACAGGAACGACCAUAAAGAAGCCGUCGAGAGAUAUCGGAAGAGUUUUCUUUUCUGUUUUAUAGCCGAACUACCAUGGAAGUCUUUCGCAGAGAGAUUUGGUAGAUGGGCUAGAAGAGCAUGACAUAUACUGUUGUGUCGAUAUUUUCUCCUCGGACCUAGAAAAUUUAUGGUGGGGACACGCAAACUUCUCAACAGGCCGUACAAAUAUCCGCAGCUGGUCUCCAAGGUGAAGAGUCUCU